UCCUAGCCCCGAUUGAAAUGAAAAUCCUUUUUUGGUGGCUGAGCCCUGCGAAGGCACCAAAAAAGAUUGUAAUGGAAAGCGGGACCCAAA
rnacentral:sRNA from 1 species